rfam:Nippostrongylus brasiliensis genome assembly, scaffold: NBR_contig0008371
CCAACGGCCCUCUUUAGGGCCACAAUCGUACAUACAACGAAUCUA